UUGCUACUCCUUCCGUUCGUAAUUCCUUGUCUCAGAAAUGGAUAUAUCUAGAACUAAUGUUCUAGAUACAUAGUUCUAGAUACAUCCAUUUCUGAGACAAGUAAUUCCGAACGGAGGGAGUACUUU
rfam:Triticum aestivum genome assembly, contig: Triticum_aestivum_CS42_TGACv1_scaffold_222917_3B